rnacentral:rRNA from 1 species
CCUACGGGAGGCAGCAGUGAGGAAUAUUGGUCAAUGGACGCGAGUCUGAACCAGCCAAGUAGCGUGAAGGAUGACUGCCCUAUGGGUUGUAAACUUCUUUUAUCUGGGAAUAAAAUGAUCCACGUGUGUGUUUUUGUAUGUAUCUUAUGAAUAAGGAUCGGCUAACUCCGUGCCAGCAGCCGCGGUAAUACGGAGGAUCCGAGCGUUAUCCGGAUUUAUUGGGUUUAAAGGGAGCGUAGGUGGAGUGUUAAGUCAGUAGUGAAAGUUUGCGGCUCAACCGUAAAAUUGCAGUUGAUACUGGCAGUCUUGAGUACAGUAGAGGUAGGCGGAAUUCGUGGUGUAGCGGUGAAAUGCUUAGAUAUCACGAAGAACUCCGAUUGCGAAGGCAGCUUACUGGACUGCAACUGACACUGAGGCUCGAAAGUGUGGGUAUCAAACAGGAUUAGAUACCCGUGUAGUC